rnacentral:rRNA from 1 species
GGUUAAAAAGCUCGUAGUUGGAUUUCUGUUGAGGAUGACCGGUCCGCUCUUUGAGCGCGUAUCUGGUUCAGCCUUGGCAUCCUCUUGGGGAACGCUACUGUGCUUGAUUGCAUGGGGCGGUAUUCAAGACUUUUACUUUGAGGAAAUUAGAGUGUCCACUGCAAGCGUUAGCAAUUGAAUACAUUAGCAUGGAAUAAUAAUAUAGGACCUUGGUACUAUUUUGUUGGUUUCUAGAACUAAGGUAAUGAUUAAUAGGGACGAUUGGGGGCACUCGUAUUAACGCGUCAGAGGUGGAAUUCUUAGAUUGCGUUACGACGAACUACUGCGAAAGCAUUUGCCCAGGAUGUUUUCAUUGAUCAAGAACGAAAGUAUGGGGAUCGAAGACGCUUAGAUACCGUCGUAGUCUAUACCAUAAACUAUGCCAACUAGAGAUUGGAGGUCGUUCUCUUUAUGACUCCUUCAGCACCUUAUGAGAAAUCAAAGUC